rnacentral:rRNA from 1 species
GAGUUUGAUCUUGGCUCAAAUUGAACGCUGGCGGCAUGCCUUACACAUGCAAGUCGAACGGCAGCACGGGAGCUUGCUCCUGGUGGCGAGUGGCGAACGGGUGAGUAAUGCAUCGGAACGUAUCCUGGAGUGGGGGAUAACGUAGCGAAAGUUACGCUAAUACCGCAUAUUCUGUGAGCAGGAAAGCGGGGGACCUUCGGGCCUCGCGCUCUUGGAGCGGCCGAUGUCGGAUUAGCUAGCUGGUGAGGUAAAGGCUCACCAAGGCGACGAUCCGUAGCAGGUCUGAGAGGAUGAUCUGCCACACUGGAACUGAGACACGGUCCAGACUCCUACGGGAGGCAGCAGUGGGAAUUUUGGACAAUGGGGCAACCCUGAUCCAGCCAUGCCGCGUGAGUGAAGAAGGCCU